CCUAAUUUCUCCUGUAAGUCACUCUGGUUAAGAGUGUCUGCUAAAUGGCUUAAA
rfam:Salmo salar isolate Sally breed double haploid chromosome ssa05, whole genome shotgun sequence.